GGAUAGAACCGAUGGCAGCGAUAUCCUUUUUCUGGUCCAUUUUGCCAGAAAAAGAUUUAGCGAAGAGCAGGAUUAAAG
rnacentral:sRNA from 1 species